rnacentral:rRNA from 1 species
UACGGGGGGGGUAAGCGUUGUUCGGAAUUACUGGGCGUAAAGGGCUCGUAGGCGGCCAACUAAGUCAUACGUGAAAUCCCUCAGCUUAACUGGGGAACUGCGUGUGAUACUGGAUGGCUUGGAUUUGGGAGAGGGAUGCGGAAUUCCAGGUGUAGCGGUGAAAUGCGUAGAUAUCUGGAGGAACACCGGUGGCGAAGGCGGCAUCCUGGACCAAUAUUGACGCUGAGGAGCGAAAGCUAAGGGGAGCAAACGGGGAUUAAGAAACC